rnacentral:rRNA from 1 species
GAUGAACGCUGACAGAAUGCUUAACACAUGCAAGUCCACUUGAAUUUGGGUUUUUAACUUAGGUUUGGGUGGCGGACGGGUGAGUAACGCGUAAAGAACUUGCCUCACAGCUAGGGACAACAUUUGGAAACGAAUGCUAAUACCUAAUAUUAUGAUAAUAGGGCAUCCUAUAAUUAUGAAAGCUAUAAGCGCUGUGAGAGAGCUUUGCGUCCCAUUAGCUAGUUGGAGAGGUAACGGCUCACCAAGGCGAUGAUGGGUAGCCGGCCUGAGAGGGUGAUCGGCCACAAGGGGACUGAGACACGGCCCUUACUCCUACGGGAGGCAGCAGUGGGGAAUAUUGGACAAUGGACCAAGAGUCUGAUCCAGCAAUUCUGUGUGCACGAUGAAGUUUUUCGGAAUGUAAAGUGCUCUCAGUUGGGAAGAAAGAAAUGACGGUACCAACAGAAGAAGUGACGGCUAAAUACGUG